rnacentral:rRNA from 1 species
UUAGCUACAGGCUUAACACAUGCAAGUCGAGGGGCAGCAUGGUCUUAGCUUGCUAAGGCCGAUGGCGACCGGCGCACGGGUGAGUAACACGUAUCCAACCUGCCGUCUACUCUUGGACAGCCUUCUGAAAGGAAGAUUAAUACAAGAUGGCAUCAUGAGUCCGCAUGUUCACAUGAUUAAAGGUAUUCCGGUAGACGAUGGGGAUGCGUUCCAUUAGAUAGUAGGCGGGGUAACGGCCCACCUAGUCUUCGAUGGAUAGGGGUUCUGAGAGGAAGGUCCCCCACAUUGGAACUGAGACACGGUCCAAACUCCUACGGGAGGCAGCAGUGAGGAAUAUUGGUCAAUGGGCGAGAGCCUGAACCAGCCAAGUAGUGUGAAGGAUGACUGCCCUAUGGGUUGUAAACUUCUUUUAUAAAGGAAUAAAGUCGGGUAUGGAUACCCGUUUGCAUGUACUUUAUGAAUAAGGAUCGGCUAACUCCGUGCCAGCAGCCGCGGUAAUACGGAGGAUCCGAGCGUUAUCCGGAUUUAUUGGGUUUAAAGGGAGCGUAGAUGGAUGUUUAAGUCAGUUGUGAAAGUUUGCGGCUCAACCGUAAAAUUGCGGUUGAUACUGGAUAUCUUGAGUGCAGUUGAGGCAGGCGGAAUUCGUGGUGUAGCGGUGAAAUGCUUAGAUAUCACGAAGAACUCCGAUUGCGAAGGCAGCCUGCUAAGCUGCAACUGACAUUGAGGCUCGAAAGUGUGGGUAUCAAACAGGAUUAGAUACCCUGGUAGUCCACACGGUAAACGAUGAAUACUCGCUGUUUGCGAUAUACAGCAAGCGGCCAAGCGAAAGCGUUAAGUAUUCCACCUGGGGAGUACGCCGGCAACGGUGAAACUCAAAGGAAUUGACGGGGGCCCGCACAAGCGGAGGAACAUGUGGUUUAAUUCGAUGAUACGCGAGGAACCUUACCCGGGCUUAAAUUGCAGAUGAAUUACGGCGAAAGCCGUAAGCCGCAAGGCAUCUGCGAAGGUGCUGCAUGGUUGUCGUCAGCUCGUGCCGUGAGGUGUCGGCUUAAGUGCCAUAACGAGCGCAACCCUUGUUGUCAGUUACUAACAGGUUCUGCUGAGGACUCUGACAAGACUGCCAUCGUAAGAUGUGAGGAAGGUGGGGAUGACGUCAAAUCAGCACGGCCCUUACGUCCGGGGCUACACACGUGUUACAAUGGGGGGUACAGAGGGCCGCUACCACGCGAGUGGAUGCCAAUCCCCAAAACCUCUCUCAGUUCGGACUGGAGUCUGCAACCCGACUCCACGAAGCUGGAUUCGCUAGUAAUCGCGCAUCGGCCACGGCGCGGUGAAUACGUUCCCGGGCCUUGUACACACCGCCCGUCAAGCCAUGGGAGCCGGGGGUACCUGAAGUGCGUAACCGCGAGGAGCGCCCUAGGGUAAAACUGGUGACUGGGGC